GAUGAACGCUGGCGGCGUGUAUAACACAUGCAAGUCGAACGAGAAGUGAAGACGGAAGCCUUCGGGCGGAAGACUUUAUUUCGAGUGGCGGACGGGUGAGUCACGCGUGGGUAACCUGCCUCAUACAGGGGGAUAACAGUUGGAAACGACUGUUAAUACCGCAUAAGACCACAGCACCGCAUGGUGCGGGGGUAAAAACUCCGGUGGUAUGAGAUGGACCCGCGUUCGAUUAGCCAGUUGGCGGGGUAACGGCCCACCAAAGCGACGAUCGAUAGCCGAUCUGAGAGGAUGACAGGCCACAUUGGGACUGAGACACGGCCCAAACUCGUACGGGAGGCAGCAGUGGGGAAUAUUGCACAAUGGGGGAAACCCUGAUGCAGCGACGCCGCGUGAGUGAAGAAGUAUUUCGGUAUGUAAAGCUCUAUCAGCAGGGAAGAAAAUGACGGUACCUGAGUAAGAAGCCCCGGCUAACUACGUGCCAGCAGCCGCGGUAAUACGUAGGGGCAAGCGUUAUCCCGGAUUUACUGGGUGUAAAGGGAGCGCAGACGGCUCUGCAAGUCUGAAGUGAAAGCCCGCGGCUUAACCGCGGGACUGCUUUGGAAACUGCAAGGCUUGAGUAUCGGAGGGGCAGGCGGAAUUCCUAGUGUAGCGGUGAAAUGCGUAGAUAUUAGGAAGAACACCGGUGGCGAAGGCGGCCUGCUGGACGAAAACUGACGUUGAGGCUCGAAGGCGUGGGGAGCAAACAGGAUUAGAUACCCUGGUAGUCCACGCGGUAAACGAUGAAUACUAGGUGUUGGUGCCCGAAGGCAUCGGUGCCGCCGCAAACGCAAUAAGUAUUCCACCUGGGGAGUACGUCGCAAGUAUGAAACUCAAAGGAAUUGACGGGGACCCGCACAAGCAGUGGAGCAUGUGGUUUAAUCGAAGCAGCGAAGACCUUACCAAAUCUUGACAUCCUCUGACCGCACCGUAAUGGGUGCUUUCCCUCGGGACAGGAGUGAC
rnacentral:rRNA from 1 species